UUCUCUCAGUUUACAUGCAAAUGUGUAAAAGGAAGAUUUCAAAUAUCUGCACUCUGGCUGGAGUUUUUUAGAAAGACUCAUUUUCAGAGGCAAAAUUUUCGUUUGCGUGUAAAUGAAGGGCACAAACGAAGGGAAAUGUCUGUUUCUCAAAAUAACCAUGUACGUCUAAUCAGCGUCUUAAUGACAUGUCAAAAUGUCUGCAGG